UGGGGCAACCCAAUGUAUAGAGAUAUACAUUACCUAUAUAGGAGCGAACGAGGGGAAUUGAAACAUCUUAGUACCCUCAGGAAAAGAAAUCAAUAGAGAUUGCGUCAGUAGCGGCGAGCGAAAGCGCAAGAGGGCAAACCCAGUGCUUGCACUGGGGGUUGUAGGACUGCAAUGUGCAAGAGCUGAGUUUAGCAGAACAUUCUGGAAAGUAUAGCCAUAGAGGGUGAUAGUCCCGUAUGCGAAAAACAAAGCUUAGCUAGCAGUAUCCUGAGUAGGGCGGGACACGAGGAAUCCUGUCUGAAUCCGGGUCGACCACGAUCCAACCCUAAAUACUAAUACCAGAUCGAUAGUGCACAAGUACCGUGAGGGAAAGGUGAAAAGAACUGAGGUGAUCAGAGUGAAAUAGAACCUGAAACCAUUUGCUUACAAUCAUUCAGAGCACUAUGUAGCAAUACAGUGUGAUGGACUGCCUUUUGCAUAAUGAGCCUGCGAGUUGUGGUGUCUGGCAAGGUUAAGCAAACGCGAAGCCGUAGCGAAAGCGAGUCUGAAUAGGGCGCUUAGUCAGAUGCUGCAGACCCGAAACGAAGUGAUCUAUCCAUGAGCAAGUUGAAGCUAGUGUAAGAACUAGUGGAGGACUGAACCCAUAGGCGUUGAAAAGCCCCGGGAUGACUUGUGGAUAGGGGUGAAAGGCCAAUCAAACUUCGUGAUAGCUGGUUCUCUCCGAAAUAUAUUUAGGUAUAGCGUUGUGUCGUAAUAUAAGGGGGUAGAGCACUGAAUGGGCUAGGGCAUACACCAAUGUACCAAACCCUAUCAAACUCCGAAUACCUUAUAUGUAAUCACAGCAGUCAGGCGGCGAGUGAUAAAAUCCGUCGUCAAGAGGGAAACAACCCAGACUACCAGCUAAGGUCCCUAAAUCUUACUUAAGUGGAAAACGAUGUGAAGUUACUUAAACAACCAGGAGGUUGGCUUAGAAGCAGCCAUCCUUUAAAGAAAGCGUAAUAGCUCACUGGUCUAGUGAUUUUGCGCGGAAAAUAUAACGGGGCUAAAGUAAGUACCGAAGCUGUAGACUUGCACACAA
rnacentral:rRNA from 1 species